UGCCUCCUGAUGGUGAUGGUGACGAUGACGAUGACAAUGAGGGUGACCGUGACACCUCUGCCGCACACUUUCCCUAAUAAGCGUGCUAUUUGAAAGCCGCAUUGGCAUGGAUAAACGGCUUUAUCGAAGAUGCAGUGUUAAGGGACAUCGGUGACAAAAUGAUGCCAUCCAAACAAGGAAUGGCUGAUCAAGGAGACAAUGCAAAGAUAGAUUUCCUCGCAAAGUGCAGGGCACAUAUGAAGAUGUCUGGGGGGACUUCCUCUCACCCCCGAGUGAGUCCAACUGGACAAACCGGAACCUUCCAGAGACGAAACUCACGGUAGGAUGAGCGUGUCUCUUUGGGAAGAAGGAGCCAACCUCUGGGCUGGCCCUCCCUGUUUGCACUUCAGAGAAACGAGCAGGAGUAGAGAUUUCAACAACUGAAAAACACGAUCCAAACUGUAAGUAUGGCCCUGCCUCUCCCGGAACAGUUCUUAAAGUACAGUAGCACCUGUCUUCUGGCAAUUUCUGACACCUACGUGGCUCAAGCCCCACUCUCCGAGUUUAUGAUUUAGCAGGACUUCAUGGGGCCUAGGAACUGAGCAUGCUAAUGACAGGUCAUCAGGAUACACACUAAACAUCACUCUACAGUGAGCAGUCUCUGUAGGAGCACCCCUAAAAUAACCCCAUAAAUCCACUCCAGCAGUAGGGUGUCCUAUGAGCUGGGUAUCAUGGAACUUAGAGUAGAUGAGAUUUAAAGGGAGGUAGAAACGGAUUUGAACUUAGAAAAUAAGCUAGUUAUGAAAACCACACCCAAACACAGCAUUUUCUGUACGUAGACCUCUGGUUGAGAAAGACAUAGGGUCAGACUGCUCUGGUCCCUCCCACAUCUUUACUCCCUACUCUCCCUGUGGCUAAUAUAGUCCUCAUUGGUUCUUUGUCCAAAUCAAGGUAGAGACCCCCAGACUCGUAAUACAGAUUUAGAGUGUCCUUUGAAAGUUGAAUGGUAACUGAGAAAUAUGCCCAUAGGAGAAGACAAAAUCUACUUUUAUCCUGUUUCCCCUUCAUUACGAGUCAGUCUUGUGAGCAUCUCUCCUGUUAUACAAGGAAUUCCGAGGUCCUCCACUGUCAUACACGAGUCUUUAAGGUUUCACUUUAAAAGUGUAGUAUCUAACUUUUCUAAGAAAGAUCUACUUUUCCGAGAGUGGUGUGCUGUUUCCAGGUUUUGUGUUAUGUUUGGUUUGGUUUGGUUUGGUCUGGUUGUUUGUUUUCUAAUGUAUUUUACGUGUGACUGUUCUGCCUGGAAGCCAGAAGAGGGCAUCUGUCCCCAUUACAGAUGGUUUUGAGCUACCAUGUCGGUGCUGGGAAUUGAACUCACAACUUCUGGUAUUACAGCCAGUGCUCUUAACCGCUGAGCCAUCGUCUCCCCAGCCCGUUUUCCAGACUUUUUAACAAUGACUUGGCUGCAAUUCCUGCAGCUUCAGACACAUAGCUCAGUUCCGAUAGGUCACAUUUAGCCUGUGGCACAGCUCAGUUGACCAUGUUAGUCCCAGGAUGACACAGAACACGUCUACACUGAAGAAGCGUGCAGACUCAGGUUGCAUCUCAACUCCAGUCCGUUCUGGUUUGAGAACCGUGGGGAAGCACCUUGACUCCCCAGGAUAUUUUUAUUAUGUGAUGGAACUGAUAGUAAGUAGAUUACUUCGGGGGGAUUUAUUUUUCUGACUGGAAAAAGAUGAGAUAAGAUGACUGGGUACACUUGAGACUGUUGACUUUACCUUUCAAGGUCGCCUUCUUGCUGCCCUGUCACGGGUACAGUGUACUCCCUUCGAUGCAUGAUUAGUUUGCCCGGGUGCACAAGGGCUGCUCAGCUCUCAGAGCAUUUUUUCAAGCACAAGGUUCCCUUUUCAGACAACUUGGAGCUUGAUGGAGAUUGAUGGCAGCCACACACUAACUUAGCAGCACGGCAUUGCUCAAACUGCUCUGCUUCUGCAAAGCAGUUUCCAGACGCACGUCUGUCAGCUGACAGCAGACAGCAACCCUUUACUGUUUUGCCCUAGUUUUCAGAUAGAGAAAUGCAGGUGUAUAGUGACUUCUUUUCUUGUAUGUUGUUUUACACACACACACACACACACACGUGUGCGCACACACAUACACGCUCACACACACAUACACACACUCACACAUUCACACACACGCGCACACACACAUACACACUCACACACACUCACACACACAUACACACACUCACACAUUCACACACACACACUCACACACACACUCACACACACACUCACAUGUCCGUGUGGGAGCAUGUGUGUUUACAUACAUUUGAGAGGGGGCCUGGCCAUUCUACCUUUAUUUCCCAAAUACAGGACCUAUAAGAAUGUGUUAUCAUCACUGUCAGUUGGAAAUCAUAUUUACAUAAACAAGAGGUUAGGUGGGAGAAGAGAUAACUGUGGGGAUUAACGAGAUUGGCCCCCAUAGGACCAUAUUUGGAUGUUUCUAGUUGGUAAAAUCUUCUCAGGUGGGAAAGAAUCAGGAGGUAUGGCCUUGUUGGGAGGAGGUGUAACUGGGGGUGGACUGUGAGGUUUCAAAAGCUCUCACCUCUGCCUCAUGGCUGUGGAUCAGACGUGAGCUCUCAGCUGCUGCUCCAGGCACUGCCUGGAACUGUAAGCAGGACCCAAUCGAAUGCUUUCACUUAUAAGUUGUCUUGGUCAUAGUGUCUCUUCAUAGCCAUAGGAAAGAAAGACACAAACUAACUAAAGGGUAUAUCCCCCCACCCUCACCCCUCACCCCACCCCCACCCCUAAGACCAGUAUUCAUCAAGCUGAGUUACAACCCAACCUCAGGGUAUAUUAUUUUAAUAUACAAACUAUUCUGUGUUGAAAAUGAUGUUAUUUUAACAACUUCUGAGGGAAGAUUGUGAGUCAAGGAGAUACCAAGGCAAAAAAUUAAAAAAUCAAAUUAAGAUAGCACUACCCUUUUGAAAGGGAUUUCAUUCGUUGAGUUCUGAGAAAGCUACCUUGUAAAGUCAGGCAUGUGUCGUUCGUUCCUUCUGGCUGUACAAGGACUUGGUGCUUAAUUGCACUCAUUACCUUGCCUUGAAAUAUUUGGCCAAGUAUUGUCAUUUUAAGGUGUGCCCGUGAAGAUGUUUUCAGAAAGAGUCAGGGUCUGAAUUAGUGACUGGGCAAGGAGACUACGGCUGGGCUGGAGAGAUGUGUCACUUGGUAAAGUGCUUGCUGGGCAAGUAUGAGGACCUAACUUCUCUCUCCAGAACCCCAAGGAAGCUGGAGCCAUUACUGUGUAUCCUUAGCAAUGUCACUGGAGGCAGACUGCUGGUCUCCAGAUACUGGUACAACACAAAUACAUGUGCAAACAUGUGGCCACACACAAACACAUACGCACACACACACACACACGCACAUAUAUGUACACAAAUCUAUAUAUACACACAAAUAUACACACAAAUAUACAUACACACACACACACACACACACACACACACACAAUAGAUCACCCUCUAUUCCUUUUGACUAGGACAGGGAAAAGGAAAGGAGGAGUUUUCUGUCUGUUUCUGAGCUUGACACUGAACUCCCAUUCGUGGUGCUUCUGGCCCACAGGCCUUCACACUUAUGCUAGAAUCUGAACCAUCCCAUGAGACUCCUGGGUGGGCCUUCAACUGCAGAUAGCUGACCAUGGAAUCCAUGAUGUAAGCCAUUCCUCGUAAUUAAUCUCACUUCUCAUGUAUAUCUUAUUGGUUCUAUUCUUCUAGAGAAUGCUAACACAGCAAAUCCCUAUGUAUACAGAAUUUUUAUUUUUAUGAGCUCCUAGCUGAGAAAGUAUGUGACACCAAUUCCUGGGCACUGUCAGACUUCCUUUCUAAAUGAUUAACUCCUGCUUUUCGCAGAGACCACAUGUUAAGGAUAUUAAAAGGAGCCAUAUACACAUAUGCACCCGCAUGAGAAAGAGACACGUCACUGACGAAGAGAUCUGUGUGGAUGAGUGUGCGUAAAGUCAGGGGUCUGUAAGAAGGAGCUCAGAAGGAGCUCAGAGCAAUCAGAUGUAAGACCAGGUGUGCAAAGUGUUUUGUGCUUUGCAUGUAGGGGUGUGUGUGUGUGUAGGUGCGUGUGUGGGGGGGAGUAUAUAUGCACUCGUGUGUUUGAACAUGGAGAGAAUACUUUGGAUGUUGUUUCUCGAGAACACCGUGCACCUUAUUUUGAAAGACAGACUGUUCCUGGCUUGUCAAUUCGGCUAGGCUGAUUGGCCAGCCAGCCCCAGAAAUCUGUCUGCCUCUGUCUAUCUCCCCAGCUUGCAGAUUACAGGUGAGUUUCGCAAAGCCUGGCAUUUGGUUUGGUUUGGUUUUCAUCCUAAAGGCAGUAAGCAUUUGUUGUUUGUUUUUCACUGGCUCCGGACCCAGCUCCUCACAUUCGCAAGGGAAACACGUCACCAAGGGAGCCAUCUUCCCUGACCAGUGUUUUACAUUUUAAACAAACAACAACUGCUGAAAGGAUGUGUGUGAGGAGCCUUAAAUACUUAUGGUGGCCAUGUAAACUACGGCAUCCCUCUAUAAAUUACUAUGGCGGUUCCUCAAAAAAACCUAAAAUUAGAAAUAUCGGAUAACCCAGCUAGACAGCUCCUGGGAAUAAAUCGAAAGGUCCUCUAAGCACACACACAGACACGCUUGCUCAUUGUGUUUUUCGUGCUGUUGUCUUCCACAGCCAGAUAAACAAGAGAAAGCAGACACUAUAUUUCACAUAUGCGCAUGUUCGUAGGUGCUGUUCGCUCUCACCCCCACCCUCUCCCAGAAUCCUCCGUUCCUCCCAUAAUCCUCUGUUCCUCCUGCUCAUUUGCUUGCCACCUACACCCACCUCCUUCAGCCUCUUCAGCUUCCACAGCACAAAUUCUCUGUGACCGUCUCCCAGUCUCACUUUCUCCCUCCUUUUAGGCUUCCCCCUCCUCUCUCUUAGUCAACUCUCUAGUCUCACAUCUAUACAUUUAAAUUUAGAAUCCACGUGUGAGAGGAAGCCUGUGAGAUUUGUCUUUCUGAGUCUGGCUUCUUUCGCUUAAUAUGUCGAUCUCUAACUCAUCUGUUAGCCUAAGAAUGCCAAAAUCACUUGGCUAUAAGUACAUAGUCUUAGCCCACUCACAAUUUUCCGCUUCCUUGAACACACACAAAAGUAUGUUGUAAGUGUUAUUCUAACAAAAUGUCACAGUGUAGUCCACCUGAAUAAUAGAGGUUAUUGAUCAAACAUUCUCAAAAUAGAACAUGUAGAUAAUUAAUAAAGAGCAUCAUAUUUACUCCUCUAGUUUUUAAAAAACAGAACUUUUCAACAUGUGCUGAAGAGGGAAAUUGAGAAAUUAAUUAAAAUCAAAUGAAAAUGGAAACAAAAGUUGUUUAAAUGAACAAUUUCAUAGCACUAAUGCCUACAUUUAAAACAAAUAUCUCAAAUAGAUAACCAAGUGAUAAAUCUCAAGGCCUUAGAAAAGUAAGAACAGAUAAAGUCAAAAUUAGUAUAAGGAAAAAAGAUUAGAGAAGAAAUAAAUGAAAAUAGAAAUGAAAAAAGUACCAAAGCUCGGGGUUGGGGAUUUAGCUCAGUGGUAGAGCGCUUGCCUAGGAAGCGCAAGGCCCUGGGUUCGGUCCCCAGCUCCGAAAAAAAAAAAAAAAAAAAAAAAAGUACCAAAGCUCAAUGAAUCAAAGAGUUGAGCAAAUAGAAUGGAAAAGAAUUGUAAAAAUUGCCCAACAUCCAGCCAAACUAAUCUUAAAACAAUGAGAGACCAAAAUAAAUAAAAUUAGAGGGUAAACAGAGAGUAUUAUUGUAGACACCACUGAAACACAGAUGAUCAUUAGUGAAUGUUUUAAAAAAUGUUAUGCCAGUACGUUAGAAAAUCAAAAAGAAAUGCAGAAGUUUCUAGACCAAGAUCAUCCAUAAAUACUGAAUCCUUAAUAAGGUUAAUGAACCCUAAAUAAGUUGAUAAUAAAUAAUGAGAUUUAAGUUGUAAUAAAAACCUUCCAUCAAACACAAUGUGCUGAUUAGGUGAUCUCGCUGGUGAAUUGUUCUAGACUUUCAAAGAAGAACUAACAAUGAUAUUCCCCAAACCAUCCCAUGAAGUAGGAUGCUUCUAAACUCAGUCUACAAAGCCCAUAUUACCUAAUGUCUAAAAGCAAUAAGAACGUAACAGUAAGAAAAAGAAACAGAAGGAGAAAACAGUCUAGACCCUUGGUAAACACAGACACAAAGAACAUAGUUAAAGCCCUUGCAAACUGAACUUUAAAAAGGAUAGUUAAAAGGAUCACAUAUCAUGAAUAGGAAAGUUGGUUUCACUGUAGGGAUGGGAGGCUAGGGCAACAUACACAGACCAAAGGAUGUAAAAUAUGGCUCAGGCACAGAGAAAAGGGUGGAGACCGUAUGGUCAUCUUAGUAGAUGUAAUAAGCUUUUUACAAUAAAAGCCAACAUUCCUUCACAGCAAAAGCACCUGCUAUAGAAGGCUAUGUUUCACAUAACACAGGAUGUUCGGGAGUACACGGGACUGAGAAGGGAACCUGGAGUUAGGAGGGAGGGAAGGAAGGGAGAAGGAAGCUGGGAGAACAGUGUGACUGAAGCUUCAGCGAUACAUGAGAACAUGUAUAAAACUGUCCCAGAGAUGCCCCAAGUAUGUGCAAUUGAUUUAUUGAUAAUCACUGUUAACAUGAAGAAAUAAUAGGUUAUAGGUUAUCUUGGUUAGGACUUUCUAAGAGACACCAUGACCAUGGCCACUCUUUUAAAGGAAAAUGUUGACUUGAGGCUGGCUCACAGUUUACAGGUUUAGCCCACUGUCAUCAUGGAAGGGUACAGGAAGCAGAGCGGUGUGCAGGCAGACAUGGUGUUGGAGAGUGGCUGAGAGUUCUACAUCCUAAUUAGUAGGAAGCAGGGAAAGAGAAUGAUGCUUGGCUUGAGUUUCUGAAGCCCCAAAGCCCGCCCCAGUAGUGACACAUUUCCUCCUUCAAGGCCACACCUACUAAUACUGUCACUCCCUAUGGGUCAUUUUCAUUCAAACCACCACAUAUGUAUAAUUAGUAUUCUAGUAUAAGGAAUCGAUGUUGACAGAUGUAAUUCAUAUGCUUUAAUAAUUAUACUAAAACAACCAAUACUUCUUACUCCUUAGGGGCUGAAUAUAUUUUUCCAAAUAGCUUUAUAAUGUAGAUGUGGUGAGUCUAGCAUGGUGGCACACACCUUUAAUCCAAGCACUCAUGAGGCAGAAUCAGGAGGAUUCCGUGAGGUCAAGGCCAGCCUGGUUGACAUAGCAAAUUUGCUCCCAGCUAGGGCUCCCUAGUGAGACACUGUCUAAAAAUAAAAUAUAGUAGACUUAAUUAACAGAGCACAAAAUUAUUCUACUUGAGUAUACAAGUUGCUACAAGUAUCAAUGUUUUUUAAUAUAUUCACAGUUGUGUAGUAUCCACACAAUCUAAUCUUACAAUGUUUUCAUCAUCCACAAAGAAACUUCAUACCCAAUUAUCAGUCAGUCCUCAUUCCAACCCCACUCCCUGUCACCCCAGGCGACUGUUAACCCCUCUGCCUCUGCUCUGCCCUCUCUGAACAUCCCACCUACAUGCUACCAUGCAGCACGUGACCUUUGUGACUGGUUUGCUUCACUUAGCAUUCUGUUUUCGGGAUUCAUCCAUGCUACACAGCAUGCAUUGCUAUUUAUUGCUUCAUAUGCUGAAUGAAAUUCUGUGCAAUUAUAGGUGUGCAAUUUUGUUUAUCUACUUAUUGAUGGACAUUUUGGUUAUUUUCAGCUUCCAGAUGAUUGUAAAUAUUGCCUCCAUAAGCAUAUGUUCAGAGCAUUGCGUGUAAACAUGAUCUUUCUUUAUAUUGCUUUCGUGUUUGUGUCUGUGUGUAGAGAGGGAGGAAGGGAAGGACGAUGAGAGAGAGGGAGAGAGAGGGGAGAGAGGGAAGAGAGGGGAGAGAGAGAGAGGGAGAGAGAGAGAGAGGGAGAGAGAGAGAGAGAGAGAGAGAGAGAGAGAGAGAGAAUGAAUAUAAUGAAUAUAUUUCGGUCACA